GCUACUGACCCUUGCUAUCAAUGCUUUCAGGAGAAAAUUCUAUAAAACACAUGAAGAACUACUUUGUGGGAUGAUCUAAUUGUUAGCUGGAUAACAGAAACUACCAGUAAAGGAAUAAAAAUAUUUAUGAUUUGUGUUUGACCUCAAAUUCUUAUUUGAAGAUGUGCAGGUAAAAAGUGCGACCAAUGAAUCUUUGGAAAAUAAAGGAUUUCAUCAUUGCUAUUUAUUACCUACGUGUGUGUAAGACAGCCUGCUCCAGAAGAGAUGUUUUAUAUUCUACCUCUCUCCUUGUUACAUUAAUGUUUGAUUAUAUAUCCAUCUGAGUGAGGAGGCGGACAUUUGAAGUGAGGGAAAGAGAUUACUUAUAUACAUCUUCAGAGGUAGUUUACUUAUUAAUUGAUUCUAUUAAAUAAACAUUUGCUAUAUACCCACCAUGGACAAAGCAUUGCAGCAGUAAAUAAAAAUCCUGGUUCUACAUUCCCAAAUAUCUAUUGAACAUAUUCCAGAUACUCUUCUUUUCGUAAGUUCCAAAUUCAACUACAUAGCAUUUCUAAUUCCUAACCCCAAACCUUUGCUCCCAUUUGCAACCUCAUUCUGGGCACCAUGUACCAAUAUCACUUAAUUAAAAGACAAAUGAUCGUUCUUAUCUUUGAUACCUAACUCUUAUCCUAAGCUUCUAUAUAUUACCUCUUGCACAUUUCUGAAAAUUGCACCCUGUCUUUUUCUACUUUUAUCCCUUGAGAGGUGACACGGUGCUGAGGUUAAAAGUUUGUAGUCUGCAUAUAAAUGCGGAUUCAAAUUCUGGAUGGCCUUACUCCUCAAUAGCUUUGUGACAUUCAGAAAAGGACUUAACCUUAGUGAACUUGUGUCUCCAUCAGUAGAUAGGGAUAACCAUGGAAUCUGCUUUACAGGCUAGAUUUAGAUGGUGCUUGGUACGUGGUAAUAGUCCCUAAACACAUGGUGUAAUUUGAAGAAGAAGGAAGAGGAGGAAGGUGGGGGGGUGGGGAGGAGUUAAGGUGUACCAAUUUGAGUAAAAUAAAAUUUAUUACCUUGUACAACAGGAAGAAUAAGAAUUAAUUCAGUAGUACAACAAUGUAAUGAAAUGUCCAGUUUCUUUCUUUCUGCACUCUCACAUGGUCAGAUAUUUUGCCGCAGUUUAAAAUAUUGCAUCUGAGCAUGAAAAGAUCUACAGAUAAGCUGUCUAGCCCAGUGUCAUUUUAUAAAAUGAAAGAAACAUUUCAAAUCUCCCUGCAAGACUCUCCUCAUAUCCUGUCAUCCAUACUGGUUUACAUGCAUGACCUGCCUCCCUGAUCACUAAUGAAGUAAGUGAGUUUCCUCUGAUGGCCUUAGACUAAUCAGGAUCUGUCCCUGAACUGGAGGUGUGAGGGCCUCACUAGCACAUGGAUGCAUGAGCACAAGUGGAAUUCAGUUGCCCAUGACAGGGUGAGAGUUGGGCUUUUGGGGGAGGGUCACAGCAGUGAUCAGGAUAAGUAUAUAUUUGUAAAUCAGGUCUCCAGCGAGUGUCCUGUGGAUGACUACAGUAACAGCCUCCUAAGGAGUGGGCUGGAUUCUGAUUCCUUGGCUUCCCAAUCCAUUCUCCACAAUGUUGCUAAAUCUUCCUAAAGUAUGAACUUGAUCUUCCUUCAGUUUUUGCUUGGAUUUUUUGCAUACACAAAACCUGCAUAUUCCUUUUUGAUCACUUACGUAACCGUCCAAGAUUGUCUUUCCAGCUUUAUUUCUGAUAUCUACAGCCCUUGAUCUGCUCAACACACAUAGGCAUCUGAUGUUCUCAGCCACACAAACAUCCCAGGAACUAGUGCACUUCCAUGGUGUGCUGACUUCUCCCUUGUCUUAGAACACACCCCGCCCUAUCCUCAUCCAGCUAGGACCCAUCUCAGGGAUCCUUCCACACACUGCAGUAUCACCUUUGUCCUGAAACCACAUGUUAAACUUGUCACUCACACCUUUCUAUGACAUUCAGGCAUCAUAAUAUCCCAGAGGAGCCAGGCACAGUGGUGCAUGCCUAUAAUCCCAGUGGCUCAGGAGGCUGCGACAGGAGGAUAGAGAAUUCAAAGCCAGCCUCUGCAAAAAGCUAGGCACUAAGUAAUUUAAUGAGACCCUAUCUCUAAACAAAAAUACAAAAUAAGGCUGGGGAUGUGGCUCAGUGGUUGAGUGCCCCUGAGCUCAAUCCCUGGUACCUGACCCCCUACCCAAAAAAGUAAUAAUAAUGUCCCAGAGGAGAAAUAGAAAACAGCAGAGGACUAUAGCU
rnacentral:lncRNA from 1 species